rnacentral:rRNA from 1 species
CUGGCGGCAGGCCUAACACAUGCAAGUCGAACGGCUCUUCGGAGCAGUGGCGGACGGGUGAGUAACGCGUGGGAACGUGCCCUUUGGUUCGAAACAACACAGGGAAACUUGUGCUAAUACCGGAUGUGCCCUUCGGGGGAAAGAUUUAUCGCCAUUGGAGCGGCCCGCGUUGGAUUAGGUAGUUGGUGGGGUAAUGGCCCACCAAGCCGACGAUCCAUAGCUGGUCUGAGAGGAUGAUCAGCCACACUGGGACUGAGACACGGCCCAGACUCCUACGGGAGGCAGCAGUGGGGAAUCUUGCGCAAUGGGCGAAAGCCUGACGCAGCCAUGCCGCGUGAAUGAUGAAGGUCUUAGGAUUGUAAAAUUCUUUCACCGGGGAAGAUAAUGACGGUACCCGGAGAAGAAGCCCCGGCUAACUUCGUGCCAGCAGCCGCGGUAAUACGAAGGGGGCUAGCGUUGCUCGGAAUUACUGGGCGUAAAGGGCGCGUAGGCGGACAGUUAAGUCAGAGGUGAAAGCCCAGGGCUCAACCUUGGAAUUGCCUUUGAUACUGGCUGUCUUGAGUUCGGGAGAGGUGAGUGGAAUGCCGAGUGUAGAGGUGAAAUUCGUAGAUAUUCGGCGGAACACCAGUGGCGAAGGCGACUCACUGGCCCGAUACUGACGCUGAGGCGCGAAAGCGUGG